rnacentral:snRNA from 1 species
AGAUAUGAGGGUGAUCUGGCUGUGACAUGUGUCACCCCAUUGAUUGCCAGGGUUGAUUUGUCUCAUCUGGCUGGCUAGGCAAGUGUCCCCUCCAUCUCUCACCGCUCAAUGUGUAUCCCUCCCAAAGCUAUGCUUGGUCCAAGAGGUUGGUCUUCCCUGACAGAAGAGGACUUAAA